CUGUCAGGGGUGGAUCCCAGAUCACCCUCUUCUGCGUGGCCCACACAACUGUGGAAGUGCCCCAUCUUCUCAUCAGAAAUACUGAAUCAUGAAGCUGCAACAAAAGAAAUGGUUCCAUUGUGUGGGCUUCAGGAAAAGCAAAGAGAAACCACGGUUCAAACCCUUUUAACUACAGCAAAGCACUUGCUGAUGUUUUUGUGCAGGACAGAAAGCAGAAGCAGAGUCUGAGGGAUGCGGAAGAACAGCUCCCAAACGUCCCUUCCACCUUGCAAACAGGGAUCCACAGAUCCUUUUGUGCAGGCUCUUACUCUUUCCCCCUCGGAACUUCUACAGAAGAGAAAUACAAUGACUACGAAGGUCAGCUCUGUAGAGCAAAGGAAGUCAGGACGACCCAGCUGCCUAUUCCUGACCAUUUUUGAACCAGUGCACAAACAACCCCUCAUCUUCCAAGGAAGUAAACAAACAUUUACCAAGAGCCAUCCUGGAAACCCUGCAACUACCCCUGCCUCCUCCAACCCAAGUUCCAAGCUGCAACCAAAGUGACCUUCUAAGAACACAAAUUUGUCGUGAGGAUGGAAUGAGCUAAUAUUUGUAAAGUGCUGACUGGCAUUAUUUGCACAUUGAAGUGCUAUUAAAUGUCUCUGAGAUAAAUACA